CAACAUCUCUCAUCAACAAAGAACUGCCAGUUAACACUACAAUGAGGGAUCUCUCUCACCUGUCACAAUGGCUACCAUCAGUCGCUCAACAAACAACAGUGCUGCGUAUGUACAAUAGCCAAGAUCUGGGAGCAGCCCCAAGGCCCAUCACAGAGGAGUGGCUAAGGAGCUGUGGACGUCUGCACAGUGGAAUACCACCGGCCCUAAAACAGACGGAAAUCUCUGUGACAGCACGGAUGGGCCUGGAGAGCAUUAUGUCCUCAGGCAGCAGCAGGCUCUGCACAGGCAAGCUCAUGACUGGUCCGAUCACACCAGAGACUGAGAGGAGGAGUCCAGAAACAGAGAGAAGGAGGGGAGUCGGAGAGUGCGGCCCA